UACGGAGGUGCAAGCGUUAUCCGGAUUCACUGGGUUAAAGGGUGCGUAGGUGGACAGGUAAGUCAGUGGUGAAAUCCCCGAGCUUAACUCGGGAACUGCCGUUGAUACUAUCUGUCUUGAAUAUCGCGGAGGUAAGCGGAAUAUGUCAUGUAGCGGUGAAAUGCUUAGAUAUGACAUAGAACACCGAUGCGAAGGCAGCUUACUACACGAUCAUUGACACUGAGGCACGAAAGCGUGGGGAGCAAACAGG
rnacentral:rRNA from 1 species